GCCGAACCGUGCGAACGUUAUUCGGAAUCAUUGGGCUUAAAGGGCGCGUAGGCGGCGGUGUAAGUUGGAAGUGAAAUCCCAUCGGCUCAACCGUGGAAUUGCUCCCAGUACUGCAUCGCUCGAGGGGGAUAGGGGUCUGCGGAACUACCGGUGGAGCGGUGAAAUGUGUUGAUAUCGGUGGGAACGCCAGUGGCGAAAGCGGCAGACUUGACCCUUCCUGACGCUGAGGCGCGAAAGCUAGGGGAGCAAACGGG
rnacentral:rRNA from 1 species